GAACGAACGCUGGCGGCAUGCCUAACACAUGCAAGUCGAACAAGACCUUCGGGUCUAGUGGCGCACGGGUGCGUAACGCGUGGGAACCUGCCCUUAGGUUCGGAAUAACUCCCCGAAAGGGGUGCUAAUACCGGAUAAUGUCUUCGGACCAAAGAUUUAUCGCCUUUGGAUGGGCCCGCGUUGGAUUAGCUAGUUGGUAGGGUAAAAGCCUACCAAGGCGACGAUCCAUAGCUGGUCUGAGAGGAUGAUCAGCCACACUGGGACUGAGACACGGCCCAGACUCCUACGGGAGGCAGCAGUGGGGAAUAUUGGACAAUGGGCGAAAGCCUGAUCCAGCAAUGCCGCGUGAGUGAUGAAGGCCUUAGGGUUGUAAAGCUCUUUUACCCGGGAUGAUAAUGACAGUACCGGGAGAAUAAGCUCCGGCUAACUCCGUG
rnacentral:rRNA from 1 species